GACGAACGCUGGCGGCGUGCUUAACACAUGCAAGUCGAACGGAAAGGCCCUGCUUUUGUGGGGUGCUCGAGUGGCGAACGGGUGAGUAACACGUGAGUAACCUGCCCUUGACUUUGGGAUAACUUCAGGAAACUGGGGCUAAUACCGGAUAGGAGCUCCUGCUGCAUGGUGGGGGUUGGAAAGUUUCGGCGGUUGGGGAUGGACUCGCGGCUUAUCAGCUUGUUGGUGGGGUAGUGGCUUACCAAGGCUUUGACGGGUAGCCGGCCUGGGAGGGUAACCGGCCACAUUAGGACUGAGGUAGGGACCAGUCUCGUACGGGAGGCAACAGGGGGAAACAUUACACAGUGAGGGGGAGUCUGAUGCGGAAACGCCGCGUGCGGAAUGACGGCUUUCGGGUUGUGAACAGCUUUCGCCUGUGACGAAGCGUGCGUGACGGUAAUGGAUAAAGAAGCACCGGCUAACUACGUG
rnacentral:rRNA from 1 species